AAUUAUUGCCUUUUCACUAUGGGCCAAAAUUAUCUCCAGAUCCCAUCUAUUACCAAGGCAAAGGCAAUAAUAUUAUUUUGAUAGUGUUUUCGAACCAGUUUUAACAAAAAGUAAUCAGUAUAUAUGAAGAGUUCAGAUGCAAAACCAGCUAAAAGCCAUCUUGGUCAAAUAUGAGAUAAUGAUACUGAGUGAAUACUCCUGACAUAUAGUAUUUGUCUGUGGCAUGAUGAAUAAGGAUAACCGUUUGUUUGGGGGACGAGUAUUUGCUCUGACGUCAUCAAUUAGUGCUCCUUUAAGAACUUAUAAAAGUCAUUAACGUGUUACAGAGGGGAGCGUCAUAUUCUGGAGCCACGCAGUUUGACUUCCUGUGUUUCGGCUAAGUGCAACCUUGGGUUAGUCCAGGUACGCAUUUGAUGUACUUGGUUUGCUCAAUGGCCGUGGAUAGUGCAAGUCGCUAAUUGUGUCUUAUUCCAGUUAAUAUCAGGAUGUCCGCGAGCACUGCCAACACCUUAUCAUGGCGCCACCUGUACCUCCCCUUUGUCAAUGUGAUCAUACACCCAGACAGAAUAUGCGCCAUUGUUCCUUUCCCACCACAUAACCUGCACAAUGGGUCCUCCCUCCUCCCCCACCUGUGCAAGUUAACUGGGGUUGGUAAGUUGUCAUACACUGCUCUGAGUAGAAAAGAUCAAUGUAAUAAAAGUUUUGAUAUAAUUUUAAUUAUAAUAUACCUUAUCACAAUACUUUAACUGGAACACAGAUAUUCAGAUGUUGUGUUGUUUUCUGAUGUCAGUAUAAAAGGGUGUGUUCAAUGUAAAUUAUACCCUUUCAUUUAUGUGGUUACAGUAUAGGUCAUUUUGGUUUUGUCUACUUUCUCAGUCAAUAAAGAAGAAAUGUAGUGCUUAGUAAACAUAAAGCCACCCGACUGCUAUGUUGAAGCAGAAGUCUUGUUUAUCUUGAUGAAUUCAGAUUGUAAAUGACAGGGUAUUUUGUUUGUUUGUUUGUUUUUUGCUUU